CUGUUCAAAGAAGGUGAACAACAUCCACGUAGAGCUGCCUUCUGAGGACAUCUUGAAGAGGCUGCUGCACGGUUUACCAUACAGUUCUACAGCAUUCCGUCACAGUGAAAGCAGAAACCACAAGCAUACAGCAG
rnacentral:lncRNA from 1 species